GUGAGGAAUAUUGGUCAAUGGUCGGAAGACUGAACCAGCCAAGUAGCGUGCAGGAUGACGGCCCUAUGGGUUGUAAACUGCUUUUGUGCGGGAAUAACGUGCUCCACGUGUGGGGCAGUGCAUGUACCGUACGAAUAAGGAUCGGCUAACUCCGUGCCAGCAGCCGCGGUAAUACGGAGGAUCCGAGCGUUAUCCGGAUUUAUUGGGUUUAAAGGGAGCGUAGGCGGAGGAUCAAGUCAGCUGUGAAAUGUAGACGCUCAACGUCUGCACUGCAGUUGAAACUGGUCCCCUUGAGUGCGUAAGGGGCAGGCGGAAUUCGUCGUGUAGCGGUGAAAUGCUUAGAUAUGACGAAGAACUCCGAUCGCGAAGGCAGCUUGCCGGGCCGCAACUGACGCUGAAGCUCGAAGGUGCGGGUAUCGAACAGG
rnacentral:rRNA from 1 species